GCGCACGGGUGAGGAACGCGUGGGAAUCUGCCCCGGGGUGGGGAAUAACCGCUGGAAACGGCGGCUAAUACCGCAUACGCCUUGCGAGGGAAAGCUUUAGCGCCCUGGGAUGAGCCCGCGUCGGAUUAGCUUGUUGGUGAGGUAACGGCUCACCAAGGCUUCGAUCCGUAGCUGGUCUGAGAGGAUGAUCAGCCACACUGGGACUGAGACACGGCCCAGACUCCUACGGGAGGCAGCAGUGGGGAAUAUUGGACAAUGGGGGCAACCCUGAUCCAGCCAUGCCGCGUGCGUGAAGAAGGCCUUAGGGUUGUAAAGCGCUUUCGGCGGGGAAGAUGAUGACGGUACCCGCAGAAGAAGCUCCGGCUAACUCCGCGCCAGCAGCCGCGGUAAUACGGAGGGGGCUAGCGUUGUUCGGAAUUACUGGGCGUAAGGGGCGCGUAGGCGGAUCGUCAAGUCAGAGGUGAAAGCCCUGGGCUCAACCUGGGAACUGCCUUUGAAACUAAUGGUCUAGAGUCCGAGAGAGGAUGGCGGAAUUCCCAGUGUAGAGGUGAAAUUCGUAGAUAUUGGGAAGAACACCAGUGG
rnacentral:rRNA from 1 species